UGGUGGGUAGUUUGACUGGGGCGGUCUCCUCCCAAAGCGUAACGGAGGAGCACGAAGGUUAGCUAAUCCUGGUCGGACAUCAGGAGGUUAGUGCAAUGGCAUAAGCUAGCUUGACUGCGAGCGUGACGGCGCGAGCAGGUGCGAAAGCAGGUCAUAGUGAUCCGGUGGUUCUGAAUGGAAGGGCCAUCGCUCAACGGAUAAAAGGUACUCCGGGGAUAACAGGCUGAUACCGCCCAAGAGUUCAUAUCGACGGCGGUGUUUGGCACCUCGAUGUCGGCUCAUCACAUCCUGGGGCUGAAGUAGGUCCCAAGGGUAUGGCUGUUCGCCAUUUAAAGUGGUACGCGAGCUGGGUUUAGAACGUCGUGAGACAGUUCGGUCCCUAUCUGCCGUGGGCGCUGGAGAAUUGAGGGGGGCUGCUCCUAGUACGAGAG
rnacentral:rRNA from 1 species